CGGACCUCAGAUCAGGCAAG
rnacentral:rRNA from 1 species